ACGGUCGUAAAUUUAGCGACUGCUCUACCCCCAUUAUGACUAAUUAGCAGUCGGUAAAUACCCGACUAUUAUCAAAAUAAAUUUUAAAUUUUAAUAACCGCUUUUUUAAUAUCUCCAACCAAUAAGCGGUCGCUAAAAUAAAAAAAAAAAAAUUUAAAAAGUAACUAAUCAUAUGACUUUUACUGACCAGCUUCUCUUUCUCCUUCAAGGUUUGCGACCAUUCAAAAAAAAAAAAAAUCAAAAUUGCUUGGCUCUCAACCUCACGUCGCAGCCACCGUACCCUAAACCUCGCCGCCACCCAGCCCACGACGCAGCCACCCUAAACGUCGCCGCCACCCAACCGACCCACCCCCACCGGCGCAAGGCGCCCCCCAGCCAGCUGCGCCCCCACCCAGUUGCGCCCCCACCCAGCUGCGCGCGCGAACUCAACAAAAAGGUACCCGCGCACCACCUCCGCCCACCGGCGCACAACUCCACCCACCGGCGGCUCACAACUCCGCCCACCGGCGCACAAACCCAUUUUCUAUGUGAACCCUGUGAACUCUUCGAUCUUUGAAGGAAAACUAUGAAAAAAAUGUUGCUGAAUGUGUUGAAAAAGGCAUUGCUAAAGAUCCCAACCAAAUCUACUUUGAGACAGUAGGUGGGAGAAAGAAGGGAAAGGUCCCCGGGCUGGGGAGUGGAGACUCUCUAUACUUUGCACCAUCUAGAAGGGGUGGUAGUUCUUCUAGCUCAUACACCCCAUCUAUUUAUUCUCAAAUGUCAUCUCGAUUGGAAGAGACUCAACAACAGUUGACCCAAAAGUCCAUUGAGCUUGAAACAACAAAAAAUCAGAUGUUAAAGGCUAUGGAGGACGAUCUACUUUUGAGGCAAAGGGAGAGAGAAGAAAGAGAAGCAGAGCGACUAGAGCACCAAAGGGAGAUGGAAAGGGAGAGAAAAGAGAGAGAAAGGGAGAGACAAGAGAGAGAAAGGGAGAGACAAGAAAGAGAAGAACAUGUCGGCCAGAUGAAAAAGGCAAUGGAGUCUUACGAGCGGAUGUUCAGUCAAUGUACUGGUUUUCCUUUCUCGCAGUCGCAGGACCCUCGAGAUCCAACCGACGGCGGGACACCUUUGUGUUAGGUAGUUAGUAUUCUUGUAUUAGUUUGAACUAGUUAUAACUUUUCGUAUUAACAUGUUUGAACAACAUUAUGUGUAUUAUGAAUCUUUGUUGUAUGACUUUGAACAGGCUUAAUAUUAUAACAUCGAGC